GACAAAAAUGACACCUAUAAAUGAACUGAUUGUGAAUGAGUUUAUAUCCAUGAAAAUUAAUCCAACAGAACCAAUUCAAAAAUGGGAAUAAAGCCAAGAAUGAAUUCAAUUCGCAGUAUACUUUGGAUCCCAACAUUUGUGCUUAGGCCUAAGUCUUAGGAUUAGUGACAAUAAUUAAAUGCUCAAACAGAGUGAUUUCAGAAAAAUUGUUAAUCAUAAUCUGCACAUGGAAAAAAAAUUAUAUUGGAAUAAGCUUCAGAAUGAGAGAUGAUUCUUAC
rnacentral:misc_RNA from 1 species